AUUAAACGCUGGCGGCAUGCCUUACACAUGCAAGUCGAACGGCAGCACGGGGGCAACCCUGGUGGCGAGUGGCGAACGGGUGAGUAAAGCAUCGGAACGUGCCCUGGAGUGGGGGAUAACGUAGCGAAAGUUACGCUAAUACCGCAUAUUCUGUGAGCAGGAAAGCAGGGGAUCGCAAGACCUUGCGCUCUGGGAGCGGCCGAUGUCGGAUUAGCUAGUUGGUGGGGUAAAGGCCUACCAAGGCGACGAUCCGUAGCGGGUCUGAGAGGAUGAUCCGCCACACUGGGACUGAGACACGGCCCAGACUCCUACGGGAGGCAGCAGUGGGGAAUUUUGGACAAUGGGCGAAAGCCUGAUCCAGCCAUGCCGCGUGAGUGAAGAAGGCCUCGGUGUAAGGACUCUUCGGUUGGGAAGGAAAUUAGCGAUGGGUUAAGUACCCU
rnacentral:rRNA from 1 species